rnacentral:rRNA from 1 species
AUUGAACGCUGGCGGAAUGCUUUACACAUGCAAGUCGAACGGCAGCACGGACUUCGGUCUGGUGGCGAGUGGCGAACGGGUGAGUAAUGUAUCGGAACGUGCCCAGUCGUGGGGGAUAACGUAGUGAAAAUUACGCUAAUACCGCAUACGAUCUAUGGAUGAAAGCGGGGGAUCGCAAGACCUCGCGCGAUUGGGGCGGGCGAUAUCAGAUUAGGUAGUUCGUGGGGUAAAGGCCGACCAAGCCAACGAUCUGUAGCUGGUCUGAGAGGACGACCAGCCACGCUGGAACUGAGACACGGUCCAGACUCCUACGGGAGGCAGCAGUGGGGAAUUUUGGACAAUGGGCGAAAGCCUGAUCCAGCCAUUCCGCGUGCAGGAUGAAGGCCCUCGGGUUGUAAACUGCUUUUGUACAGAACGAAAAGGUUUCUACUAAUACUAGGAGCUCAUGACGGUACUGUAAGAAUAAGCACCGGCUAACUACGUGCCAGCAGCCGCGGUAA